CUUGCCGGAUGGACAGCCGCUCCGGGCAAUCGUGUCCGGGGAGGAAAGUCCGGUCUCCGUAGGGCGGCGUGCCGGCUAACGGCCGGGGGCGCCCGCCUCAAAACGGGCGCUACGGAAAGUGCCACAGAAAAGAUACCGCUCCCGCCGCAAGGUGGCGAGUAAGGGUGAAAAGGUGCGGUAAGAGCGCACCGCGGCCGGAGCGAUCCGGCCGGCAGGGUAAACCCCACGCGGAGCAAGACCAAAUAGGAGAGGAGGAGUGGCCCGCUCCGCUUCCACUCUCGGGUAGGUCGCUAGAGCCGGGCAGUAAUGUCCGGCCCAGAGGAAUGGCUGUCGCCCCUCCGCGCUUUCGGGCUCGCCCGAAAGCGCGGAGGGGUACAGGAACCGGCUUACAAUCCGGCAAGCUUU
rnacentral:RNase_P_RNA from 1 species